CUUCUUGUGCAUUUCUCGAAUCUUUGAAAAUUUGGAUCAUAUUUAAUAUGUCCGAAAGCGGAAGCACAUAUUCAUGCAGGAAACAAAACUCAGCGUUCAUUGCGGUAACCGCCGGAUCCCUAUUAGUAAGAUGGAAAUACAAGCGGAAGCAGUCCAGAGCUGACGUCUUUUCCAACUGCCGUAAAAUGGCCAGCAGAACCAAAAACUCGACAAUAACAUGAAACUUAAAACUAUAAGCUCGACGGAUCCAUAUCAAAGACAUCACGGAGACCGAUAGAGCCCUCUUGCCACUUUUUCCAUCUCCGCUAGGUCUUGAGGAUGUGUCGAAAGACUCUGGGAUUUCUUGGAAACCAGUUGACCGCUGCAUCAGGAAGCACUUGACUUCACCAAUCGUGAAGUGACAUAGGACCUUGGAUUUUAGAGCAAAUUCCAGUUCGGAUCCGGUAGAAUCCAGAUAGCAGGUUUUGAUUCAGAAGGUCUUUAUUAAUUCUGAUAACAAAGCCUUGUUGGGAAAUUAUGAGGAUUAAAACGGAGCCGUCAGUAAAGAUUCUGAGAAGCGGGGAGAUGCUGUCUCGACGGAUCUAAUCAGCCGCACCCUCGACAUUUCAGAACAGGCUGAUCAUGAGGAAUUUCCAAGAAGAAUAAGAAGCAAGUGCGAAAGACAGACAUUGAGCGAUCGGUGGGUUUCGGAUAAUAUCGAGGAAAUACCAAUUCCGAUCAAACAAAUAGGAAUUGGAUUCAACAAAGAGAAGCAACAAGCACAGACGACGCAAUUGAUCAAGAAUGAAUUCGCGGAAGCAACGGGAACAUGAGUGCAAACUCGAAUUUACCUUGCUGCUGAAAUAU